rnacentral:rRNA from 1 species
AGACCCGAAACCCGGUGAUCUAGCCAUGGGCAGGUUGAAGGUUGGGUAACACUAACUGGAGGACCGAACCGACUAAUGUUGAAAAAUUAGCGGAUGACCUGUGGCUGGGGGUGAAAGGCCAAUCAAACCGGGAGAUAGCUGGUUCUCCCCGAAAGCUAUUUAGGUAGCGCCUCGUGAAUUCAUCUCCGGGGGUAGAGCACUGUUUCGGCUAGGGGGCCAUCCCGGCUUACCAACCCGAUGCAAACUGCGAAUACCGGAGAAUGUUAUCACGGGAGACACACGGCGGGUGCUAACGUCCGUCGUGAAGAGGGAAACAACCCAGACCGCCAGCUAAGGUCCCAAAGUCAUGGUUAAGUGGGAAACGAUGUGGGAAGGCCCAGACAGCCAGGAUGUUGGCUUAGAAGCAGCCAUCAUUUAAAGAAAGCGUAAUAGCUCACUGGUCGAGUCGGCCUGCGCGGAAGAUGUAACGGGGCUAAACCAUGCACCGAAGCUGCGGCAGCGACGCUUAUGCGUUGUUGGGUAGGGGAGCGUUCUGUAAGCCUGUGAAGGUGUGUCGUGAGGCAUGCUGGAGGUAUCAGAAGUGCGAAUGCUGACAUAAGUAACGAUAAAGCGGGUGAAAAGCCCGCUCGCCGGAAGACCAAGGGUUCCUGUCCAACGUUAAUCGGGGCAGGGUGAGUCGACCCCUAAGGCGAGGCCGAAAGGCGUAGUCGAUGGGAAACGGGUUAAUAUUCCCGUACUUGGUGUUACUGCGAAGGGGGGACGGAGAAGGCUAUGUUGGCCGGGCGACGGUUGUCCCGGUUUAAGCGUGUAGGUGUGUGUUCCAGGUAAAUCCGGUUCACUUUAACACUGAGGCGUGAUGACGAGGCACUACGGUGCUGAAGUAACAAAUGCCCUGCUUCCAGGAAAAGCCUCUAAGCAUCAGGUAACAUCAAAUCGUACCCCAAACCGACACAGGUGGUCAGGUAGAGAAUACCAAGGCGCUUGAGAGAACUCGGGUGAAGGAACUAGGCAAAAUGGUGCCGUAACUUCGGGAGAAGGCACGCUGACACGUAGGUGAAGUGAUUUACUCACGGAGCUGAAGUCAGUCGAAGAUACCAGCUGGCUGCAACUGUUUAUUAAAAACACAGCACUGUGCAAACACGAAAGUGGACGUAUACGGUGUGACGCCUGCCCGGUGCCGGAAGGUUAAUUGAUGGGGUCAGCGCAAGCGAAGCUCCUGAUCGAAGCCCCGGUAAACGGCGGCCGUAACUAUAACGGUCCUAAGGUAGCGAAAUUCCUUGUCGGGUAAGUUCCGACCUGCACGAAUGGCGUAAUGAUGGCCAGGCUGUCUCCACCCGAGACUCAGUGAAAUUGAACUCGCUGUGAAGAUGCAGUGUACCCGCGGCAAGACGGAAAGACCCCGUGAACCUUUACUAUAGCUUGACACUGAACAUUGAGCCUUGAUGUGUAGGAUAGGUGGGAGGCUUUGAAGUGUGGACGCCAGUCUGCAUGGAGCCGACCUUGAAAUACCACCCUUUAAUGUUUGAUGUUCUAACGUGGACCCGUUACCCGGGUUGCGGACAGUGUCUGGUGGGUAGUUUGACUGGGGCGGUCUCCUCCUAAAGAGUAACGGAGGAGCACGAAGGUUGGCUAAUCCUGGUCGGACAUCAGGAGGUUAGUGCAAUGGCAUAAGCCAGCUUGACUGCGAGCGUGACGGCGCGAGCAGGUGCGAAAGCAGGUCAUAGUGAUCCGGUGGUUCUGAAUGGAAGGGCCAUCGCUCAACGGAUAAAAGGUACUCCGGGGAUAACAGGCUGAUACCGCCCAAGAGUUCAUAUCGACGGCGGUGUUUGGCACCUCGAUGUCGGCUCAUCACAUCCUGGGGCUGAAGUAGGUCCCAAGGGUAUGGCUGUUCGCCAUUUAAAGUGGUACGCGAGCUGGGUUUAGAACGUCGUGAGACAGUUCGGUCCCUAUCUGCCGUGGGCGCUGGAGAACUGAGGGGGGCUGCUCCUAGUACGAGAGGACCGGAGUGGACGCAUCACUGGUGUUCGGGUUGUCAUGCCAAUGGCACUGCCCGGUAGCUAAAUGCGGAAGAGAUAAGUGCUGAAAGCAUCUAAGCACGAAACUUGCCCCGAGAUGAGUUCUCCCUGAGACUUUAGG